GAGACUCUGUGCGCGUGCAUAUCAAUAAGCGGAGGAAAAGAAACUAACUAGGAUUCCCUCAGUAACGGCGAGUGAAGCGGGAAGAGCUCAAAUUUGAAAUCUUAAAGGGUUCUACCUUGACGAAUUGUAGUUUAAAGAAGUGUUUUCUGUUGGAGUUUUCGGUAAAAGUUCUUUGGAAUAGGACAUCAUAGAGGGUGAGAAUCCCGUAUUUGACCAUUACUUUCCAACUGUGUGAUACACUUUCAAAGAGUCGGAUUGUUUGGGAAUGCAGUCCAAAAUGGGUGGUAAAUUUCAUCUAAAGCUAAAUAUUGGCGAGAGACCGAUAGCGAACAAGUACCGUGAGGGAAAGAUGAAAAGAACUUUGAAAAGAGAGUUAAACAGUACGUGAAAUUGUCAAAAGGGAAGCGUUUGACACCAGUGUUGUUUUCUCGAAAAUCAAUUAAAAAAAGUUGGAUUUUGUGUUGUAUUGACCUUAACAGCUUUCUUCACUCUUUUCCUGCUUUUUUUAAUGCACUUUUCGUUUAACAAGUCAACAUCAGUUUCUUUUGUUGUAAAAAGGUCAUUGGAAGGUGGCUUUCUUUUCGGAGAAAGUGUUUAUAGCCUUUGAUCCCUGCAAUCGGAGAGACUGAGGUCUGCAGCGUAGAUCCUUCGGGGUUAGAUACAUUUGUGCUAAGUUAUAGCUUUUUAUAGACAACUUGUUGACUAUAUUUAGUCUUGUAGCUUACUCGCUUAUGCUAUUUUACCUACGCUUAGGAUGUUGAGUCGUAGAGCACGCAG
rnacentral:rRNA from 1 species